AGCAUCUCCUUCACGCCUCUUCAUUUGUUGGCGCAAGCGUGGUCUCGGCCAAAAUCGGGUUUCCUGUGCUAGAUACCUAUCUCGAAGGUAUUUUGUCGGUUAAAAUUGUUGCCAUUCCGUUGUGUGCCACUGCUCCUUGCGGGGAAGUGGUGCGCUGCGGACCUCAAGGCACUCGCUGUGUCUCACAUUGUGUUCACCUAUAUAGGUGUUUCGAUUGCUGAGCCAUGGCGCAAUGCUUGAUAUCUCGGGUGCGGAACAUCUCGUGGGUAUGAGGCCUUUCGGCCUCUAAUCACCACAACAACAAGCGUUCUACGCUUCGUGCGAACGACGGUUGGCUCGGUCUUCAAAUGUGGUCUAGUAGCCCAAUUGGAGUCGAGCCAACGUCGG
rnacentral:misc_RNA from 1 species